UACGUAGGGUGCGAGCGUUGUCCGGAAUUACUGGGCGUAAAGAGCUCGUAGGUGGUUUGUCGCGUUGUCCGUGAAAACUCACAACUCAAUUGUGGGCGUGCGGGCGAUACGGGCAGACUGGAGUACUGCAGGGGAGACUGGAAUUCCUGGUGUAGCGGUGGAAUGCGUAGAUAUCAGGAGGAACACCGGUGGCGAAGGCGGGUCUCUGGGCAAUAACUGACGCUGAGGAGCGAAAGCGUGGGGAGCGAACAGG
rnacentral:rRNA from 1 species